UUGCACGCUGGCGGCAGGCCUAACACAUGCAAGUCGAACGGUAACAGGAAGAAGCUUGCUUCUUUGCUGACGCGUGGCGGACGGGUGAGUAAUGUCUGGGAAACUGCCUGAUGGAGGGGGAUAACUACUGGAAACGGUAGCUAAUACCGCAUAACGUCGCAAGACCAAAAAGGGGGACCUUCGGGCCUCUUGCCAUCGGAUGUGCCCAGAUGGGAUUAGCUAGUAGGUGGGGUAACGGCUCACCUAGGCGACGAUCCCUAGCUGGUCUGAGAGGAUGACCAGCCACACUGGAACUGAGACACGGUCCAGACUCCUACGGGAGGCAGCAGUGGGGAAUAUUGCACAAUGGGCGCAAGCCUGAUGCAGCCAUGCCGCGUGUAUGAAGAAGACCUUCGGGUUGUAAAGUACUUUCAGCGGGGAGGAAGGGAGUAAAGUUAAUACCUUUGCUCAUUGACGUUACCCGCAGAAGAAGCACCGGCUAACUCCGUG
rnacentral:rRNA from 1 species